AUGGCAGUGGCAGGUGCCUCACCUGUUCUUCAUCUCCUUCUCCAACAAUGGCAGCUGAUUCUAGCCAUCCUCCUCGUCCCACUCGCCUGCCUCCUCCUUCGAGGAAGGUCAGGCUCCGGCCUAAAGCGGCCACCGGGCCCCAUGAGGCUGCCCAUCGUGGGCAACCUGCACCAGAUCGGGCGGCUGCCGCACCGGAGCCUGGCUGCGCUAGCCCGGCGGCACGGGCCUGUGAUGAUGCUGCGACUGGGCAUGGUGCCGAUGGUGGUGCUGACGUCACCGAAGGCGGCCCGGGAAGCCCUCAAGACAAAGAAUGAUGACUGCAGCAGCCGUCCCCUGUCGGCAGGGCCAGGGCUGCUGUCCUAA
rnacentral:rRNA from 1 species